ACUCAAAGGAAUAGACGGGGGCCCGCACAAGCAGCGGAGCGUGUGGUUUAAUUCGACGCAACGCGCAGAACCUCACCCAGAUUUGACAUGCAGCUGCAAGCUUCUGAAAGGAAGUCGCCUUCGAGGGUGCUGCACCGGUGCUGCAUGGCUGUCGUCAGCUCGUGUUGUGAGAUGUUGGGUUAAGUCCCGCAACGAGCGCAACCCCCGCGGCUAGUUACUCGUGUCUAGCCGGACUGCCCUUCGGGGAGGAAGGUGGGGAUGACGUCAAGUCCGCAUGGCCCUUACGUCUGGGGCGACACACACGCUACAAUGGCGCCGACAGAGCGAAGCGACUGAGCAAUCAGAAGCGAACCGCAUAAACGGCGUCUCAGUGCAGAUCGGGGGCUGCAACUCGCCCCCGUGAAGGCGGAGUUGCUAGUAACCGCGUAUCAGCCAUGGCGCGGUGAAUGCGUACCCGGGCCUUGUACACACCGCCCGU
rnacentral:rRNA from 1 species